GUGUCGGCCAGCCUCAGAAUCCCAACACAGUUUUCCGGAUGGAGGGCUUCGGUGAGGAAACUGGCACAAGCAUCCACCAUCCGCAGAAACUAUAGACAUAAGAGGCAUGUAAGCAUAUCAUGGGACACCAGAGGAGCCGAGAAGUCCAGCCAAGAGGGAACAAGAACCAGAUAAGUAAAGUUGGCUGAAGUUUUUCAUGAUGUCCAGGGCUUUUGGUUGGUUUUUUUUCUGCCAUUUUUCCUUAUGCUACUUAAGCUUUUCCAAAGUUCAGGAAGCAUCACAAACAGUAGCAAACUGAAAAAAAUGAAAAAUCCAACCCUAUAAGUAAUUCAUUCUAUUGGUACCAGGAAGGAGGAGAAUUAAAAUGGGAAACUUUUUUGAAACUUUUGGAGGAAAAAUGUUUAGUUUUGAACUCUGCAAAAUGGAAACAAUUUCAAAAAUGUUUGGAUUUUUUUCCCCCUACUUUUUUGUUCAGCUCUAAAGAGAAGGCCAGAAGAUGCUUAGACAUUAGAAUGCCUAAUGGGAAGAACUUUAAGAAUGGCAUUUCUCUUUGGAGGCCUUCAUGAACAAGGAGAUGAAGACUGGAAUCUAACACACUUUGGGACUUGACCUUGGGUUACAUUGUUACUCCUCAUGUGCUCAUUACUGGAAUAUCA